AUUCAACUUUGUAUCACCUGAGCUUAGCUGACACCUGGCACAGAGAAGAAACAUAUUAAGGAUUUGCUGAGAGAAUAAGAUAGUAUAACUUGGUCUUAUAUUUAAGGUUUGAUUUUCUAGGAACCUAUAGUGAAUUUUAGGCUUGCUUUUCAGUUUUUGUAGCAGGGAUGUAGCACAGGUUUGGGACUCAGCACACCUAGUCUGAAAGCUGAUUUCUGUCACAGCAUGCAUGAGGGACAGUCUCUUCAGUUUAUUUAUACCUUAGUGCUGUGAUUCUCGAGCUUAUAGACACUGUGAGGACAGAAUUUUAGCUCUUUAAACAAAGGGGGGCAAAUAUACAGUGAACUCUAUCUAUAUAGGUAUUUAACUGAAAGGAAUUUCAGGGCCAAGUGUGUCUACUAUUAAAAGAAACGUACUUUUCUUACAAUGUAGUCCCUGAAUGCAAAUCAUGGUUUUAUCUGGUGGGCAACUGAAGAAACAGCAAUCUGAACUGAUAUGGGAGGCAGACCUCACUGUAACAGGAUUAGUGAGAAACAGUGUUUGUGGCUCUUAAUUGCUCAUUUUUUUUUUAAUGAGCAAUUAAAAAUGUUAGGGAUGUUAGGGAUUUUCUAAGGGCAGGUUUGUCCAUAUGCAGAGUUGAUGUUAGGAUGUAAUACCACAAAGAUGUAAUUAACUCCUCUGUUUAUGGUCUCCAUGUUAAUUCACUCUCAUAAGAGGGUAUGCACUGUGGUCACUAUUCUACUACCAUUUUUAAGAAAAAAUUUAAAACUAUUUUUUAUCUUCUAAGUUAAAUAUUUUGCUAUUUGAUAAGUUAACAAUGCAAUAGAAAAUCAGUAUAACUUUUAUCUUUACCAGAAGCCAUAAAAGUCUAUCUAGGAAAAUUUUGGAUGUGUGAACAUGGCUUUAGAGAAGGAACUCAACUACAGACUAUAAGAAAUGUAAAACCAAGCCAGGUUCCUGUUGUGGUCCUUUAUUAUGACCUGGUGACCUAAGCUAGAGAAUCACAGCACUAAGGUAUAAGUAAACCAAAUAGCAUGCAUUGGCUUUAGUUCAGAAGGGGAUUUUUGUGCAGAAAAUAAAUUGAAAGUAGGGGCUCUGGCCAGCAUAAACAGAUAAGAAAAAAGUAUGAUUCCCCACACCUCGAAAAUGACUCCUUCACACAUCCCACCAAUCAAAGAUCCAUUUGGAAUAACAGGUUCUUCUAAAAGCUGCCAUAAAAGUUAAGCCUCCUACCACCUAUACUUUGGUGUGAAUUGAUUUAGUCUGCAGGCAUUUUGAUUGCUUUUCUUCUAACACCUAACUUAGAAGGUGAAAUAGAGGUCUUGUUUGGAGGGAAUUGAAGAACGAAAAGGAAAGGGCAAUUUCAGAUCAAGGGAUAUGUUGGAAUGGUGGAAAAGUAGGAUCAUUAGGACAGCUGGGAACAGUCUUUUAGUUCUUGGAAGCCAGGAAAAAGAUGUAGAGAGAAGGGAAGAAGUGGUCAAGGCUCCAUGAAAAGGAGGAUGUAGCAGUCAAAUUGGAUGUCGACCAUGCAACAAUGACGUCAGGAACCCUGCUUGGUAUACCAUCGAAUAACGCGUAAAGUUUCACUCUUGUUGCCUAGGCUGGAGUACAAUGGUGUGAUCUCGGCUCACUGAAACCUCUGCCUCCUGGGUUCAUUCAAGUGAUUCUCCUGCCUCAGCCUCCUGAGUAGCUGGGAUUACAGCCUCCUCUAUAUACCUCCACCUUCUAACUCCAAGAAGUCAAAAUGAAGUCUCACCAUAUUGAUCAGACUGGUCUUGAAGUCCUGGCUUCAAAUGAUCUUCCCUCCUCAGCCUCCCAAAGUGCUGGGAUUAUAGAUCUUGCAGACAACAGAUCAUGGAACUUCUUGGCCUCCAUAAUCUCAUGAGCCAAUUUCUGUAAGUCUCUCUGUCUCUCUCUCUGGAGAACCUUGGCUAAUAUACAUACACCAUGAUUGAUAGUGGAUGCCCAAUAAAUGCAUUCCAAAAUAUAUGGAUGCCCAAUAAAUAUGUGUAAGUAUGAAUACUCAAUAAAUAAAAAAAAAUGAAAGAACGGA
rnacentral:lncRNA from 1 species